UACGUAGGGGGCAAGCGUUAUCCGGAUUUACUGGGUGUAAAGGGAGCGUAGACGGCAUGGCAAGUCAGAUGUGAAAGCCCGGGGCUCAACCCCGGGACUGCAUUUGAAACUGUCAGGCUGGAGUGCAGGAGAGGUAAGUGGAAUUCCUAGUGUAGCGGUGAAAUGCGUAGAUAUUAGGAGGAACACCAGUGGCGAAGGCGGCUUACUGGACUGUAACUGACGUUGAGGCUCGAAAGCGUGGGGAGCAAACAGG
rnacentral:rRNA from 1 species